UGCUUCUCCAAAUCCCGGACGUCCAGGAGGAACAACGGCGUCAAGCUGGCUGACACCAGGAACACCCAGAAGUCCCCGCUCCUGUCUGUCCUUCCGCACUCAGGAGCGGGGAUGGCCACAGGGACACCAUCUGCCCACAAACCGCUGGCGUUUGCUGCCAUGGUGCGCGGAGAUGCGGUCCCCGAGGAGGCCACUUUCGGCCAGGACGCCGGGAUCGUAUCAGCAGCAGCAUCCCGCGCUGACA
rnacentral:lncRNA from 1 species